AUUGAACGCUAGCGGGAUGCUUUACACAUGCAAGUCGAACGAGGGGCGGACGGGUGAGUAAUAUAUCGGAACGUGCCCAGUAGCGGGGGAUAACUACGGGAAAGAGGGGCUAAUACCGCAAACGAUUGGAGGGGACGUUAUCGGAUUAGCUAGUUGGUGGGGUAAAGGCUCACCAAGGCAACGAUCCGUAGCUGGUUUGAGAGGACGACCAGCCACACUGGGACUGAGACACGGCCCAGACUCCUACGGGAGGCAGCAGUGGGGAAUUUUGGACAAUGGGGGAAACCCUGAUCCAGCCAUCCCGCGUGUAUGAGAAGGCCUUCGGGUUGUAAAGUACUUUUGGCAGAGAAGCGGUAUCUGCAGAAUAAGCACCGGCUAACUACGUGCCAGCAGCCGCGGUAAUUC
rnacentral:rRNA from 1 species